UGGGGAAUAUUGGGCAAUGGGGGAAACCCUGACCCAGCGACGCCGCGUGAGGGAAGAAGGUUUUCGGAUUGUAAACCUCUGUCCUUGGUGACGAUAAUGACGGUAGCCAAGGAGGAAGCCACGGCUAACUACGUGCCAGCAGCCGCGGUAAUACGUAGGUGGCGAGCGUUGUCCGGAAUUACUGGGUGUAAAGGGAGCGUAGGCGGGAGAGCAAGUCGACUGUGAAAUCUAUGGGCUUAACCCAUAGCUGCGAUCGAAACUGUUCAUCUUGAGUGAAGUAGAGGCAGGCGGAAUUCCUAGUGUAGCGGUGAAAUGCGUAGAUAUUAGGGGGAACACCAGUGGCGAAGGCGGCCUGCUGGGCUUUAACUGACGCUGAGGCUCGAAAGCGUGGGGAGCAAACAGG
rnacentral:rRNA from 1 species